rnacentral:rRNA from 1 species
CCUACGUGAGGCAGCAGUAGGGAAUAUUGCUCAAUGGGGGAAACCCUGAAGCAGCAACGCCGCGUGGAGGAUGAAGGUUUUCUGAUUGUAAACUCCUUUUGUUAGAGAAGAUAAUGACGGUAUCUAACGAUUAAGCACCGGCUAACUCCGUGCCAGCAGCCGCGGUAAUACGGAGGGUGCAAGCGUUAUUCGGAAUCACUGGGCGUAAAGGGCGCGUAGGCGGGUUAGAAAGUCAGAUGUGAAAUCCUAUGGCUUAACCAUAGAACUGCAUUUGAUACUGUUAUUCUAGAGAUUGGUAGAGGUAGGUGGAAUGCUUGGUGUAGGGGUAAAAUCCGUAGAGAUCA